GAUGAACGCUGGCGGCGUGCUUAACACAUGCAAGUCGAACGAAGCACCUUAUUUGAUUUCCUUCGGGACUGAUUAUUUUGUGACUGAGUGGCGGACGGGUGAGUAACGCGUGGGUAACCUGCCUUGUACAGGGGGAUAACAGGUGGAAACGGCUGCUAAUACCGCAUAAGCGCACAGCAUCGCAUGAUGCAGUGUGAAAAACUCCGGUGGUAUAAGAUGGACCCGCGUGGGAUUAGCUAGUUGGUGAGGUAACGGCCCACCAAGGCGACGAUCCAUAGCCGACCUGAGAGUGUGACCGGCCACAUUGGGACUGAGACACGGCCCAAACUCCUACGGGAGGCAGCAGUGGGGAAUAUUGCACAAUGGGCGAAAGCCUGAUGCAGCGACGCCGCGUGAGCGAAGAAGUAUUUCGGUAUGUAAAGCUCUAUCAGCAGGGAAGAUAAUGACGGUACCUGACUAAGAAGCACCGGCUAAAUACGUG
rnacentral:rRNA from 1 species